AUGAAAUUGGAAAAAGGGAGUCAGCGGUGUAGUCAUAAUUUAUACUACAAUGGACGAGCCAAACAUUCUCAGACGUCGUGGGCUGCAGAAAGAGCUGAGCCUUCCACGAAGGGGGAACAUGUAAGUAUCACUAAAGAUCAGCACUUGUUAUCUCUGCUCUCGUUACACCGUUUGAUACAAAACCAAAGGGUGUCACGAGGUGAUGUUUGUCGUAGCUGACAUUUACUUGGAACUUCCAGGAGGCAACACCUCUUAAAAAGCUGCUUGUGAAUUGUCUUGUAGGCAAAUGUGGUUUCACACCCCAAACCAGUUUUGUGAGUGGUAGUGCCUUGAGGUGGCAGAUAGGCCUUACGUUAGUAAUAUAUUUGGACAUGUUAACAAACAGUGGUAGAUUGAAUGAGAAUAUAAACCUGAGUGUACAAACAUUAGGAACACCUGCUCUUUCUGCGACAGACUGGCCAGGUGAAAGCUAUGAUCCUUAAUUGAUGUCACUUGUUAAAUCCACUUCAAUCAGUGUUGAUGAAGGGGAGGAGACAGGUUAAAUAAGGAUUUUUAAGCCUUGAGACAAUUGUGUGUGUGCGUGCCAUUCAGAGGGUGAAUGGGCAAGACAAAAGGUUUAAGCGCUGGGGCCUCCUGAGUGGCGCAGCGGUCUAAGGCACUGCAUCGCAUUUCUCGAGGCAUCACUAAAGAUGAGUUUGAGGCGUGUUACAAGGUGUCACACAAUUGGCCCAGCAUCUUCCGAGUUAGGGGAGGGUUUGGCCGGCCGGGAUGUCCUUGUCCCAUCGUGCUCUAGUGACUUCUGUGGCGGGCCAGGCGCAUGCACGUUAACACGGUCGCCAGUUCUACGGCGUUUCCUCUGACACAUUGGUGUGGCUGACUUAAGGGAGCAGUGUGUCAAGAAGCAGUGCGGCUUGGCAAGGUUGUGUUUCGGAGGAUGCAUGGCUCUCGGCCUUCGCCGCUCCUGAGUCCGUACAGGAGUUGCAGAGAUGGGACAAGACUGUAACUACUAAUUUGGAUAUUGAGAUCAUUAUAUUUAAGUGCCUUUGAAUGGGGUAUGGUAGUAGGUUCCAGGUGCAUCGGUUUGAGUGUCAACUGUAACACUACUGGGUUUUUCCACGCUCAACAGUUUCCUCUGUGUAUCAAGAAUGGUCCACCACCCAAAGGACAUCCAGGCUCCUUGACACAACAUGGGCAGCAUCCCUGUGGAAUACUUUCUACAUCUUGUCGAUUCCAUGCCCUGUCAAAUUGAGACUGUUCUGGGGGCAAAAGGGAGUGCAACUCAAUAUUAGGUAGGUGUUCCUAAUGUUUUGUACACUCUGUGUAUAGAUCCAUCUAAUCAAACGUACCCCCACACAUUUUAUGAAAGGACUGUACGUAUGUUUAUAGUAUGCGUGCAUGCACAUCCAAUGCUUUGAGGUCUUGUCAAUUAGUAUGGAAAUAAAAUCUGUAUGUGUGAUUCAAAAUAAAUAACUUCACAUAUCCUGCAAUGAAUUCUACAUAUUUCCUAAUGACAUGUCAGUCAGAAUUAGUGUAUUUCCCUAGUGACCCUAUCAUAGCCUAUUGCAGAGCUCCAAGAUGAAGCUCUGGCAUAUUCCAUUGGUGUGCAAUAAGACAGAUAUUGUUCUGUUGUGGGCUUCUUAUUGACAUAGUUGGACAGUAAUGGGUGUCAUCAGGGCCGGCUCUAGCCUUUUGAGGGCCCUGAAUGAGAUUUUGCCAUGGGGUGGAGUUUUUUUUUAAACUUGGGUACGUGUCCUUGGGCCCUUGGGUAUGUGUCUGGUCUGUAUUCAAAUCAAAUGUUAUUUGUCACAUACACAUGGUUAGCAGAUGUUAAUGCGAGUGUAGCGAAAUGCUUGUGCCUCUAGUUCCGACAAUGCAGUAAUAACCAACAAGUAAUCUAACUAACAAUUCCAAAACUACUGUCUUAUACACAGUGUAAGGGGAUAAAGAAUAUGUACAUAAGGAUAUAUGAAUGAGUGAUGGUACAGAGCAGCAUAGGCAAGAUACAGUAGAUGGUAUCGAGUACAGUAUAUACAUAUGAGAUGAGUAUGUAAACAAAGUGGCAUAGUUAAAGUGGCUAGUGAUACAUGUAUUACAUAAGAAUGCAGUCGAUGAUAUAGAGUGCAGUAUAUACGUAUGCAUAUGAGAUGAAUAAUGUAGGGUAAGUAACAUUAUAUAAGGUUGCAUUGUUUAAAGUGGCUAGUGAUAUAUUUACAUCGUUUCCCAUCAAUUCCAUUAUUAAAGUGGCUGGAGUUGAGUCAGUGUCAGUGUGUUGGCAGCAGCCACUCAAUGUUAGUGGUGGCUGUUUAACAGUCUGAUGGCCUUGAGAUAGAAGCUGUUUUUCUGUAGUCGAUGAACAGCAUUCUCACAUAGGUAUUCCUCUUGUCCAGAUGGGUUAGGGCAGUGUGCAGUGUGGUUGAGAUUGCAUUGUCUGUGGACCUAUUUGGGCGGUAAGCAAAUUGGAGUGGGUCUAGGGUGUCGGGUAGGGUGGAGGUGAUAUGGUCCUUGACUAGUCUCUCAAAGCACUUCAUGAUGACUGAAGUGAGUGCUACGGUGCAGCUACGGGGUAGUCGUUUAGCUCAGUUACCUUAGCUUUCUUGGGAACAGGAACAAUGGUGGCCCUCUUGAAGCAUGUGGGAACAGCAGACU
rnacentral:lncRNA from 13 species